rnacentral:rRNA from 1 species
AGUGAACGCUGGCGGUAGGCCUAACACAUGCAAGUCGAACGGCAGCACAGUAAGAGCUUGCUCUUACGGGUGGCGAGUGGCGGACGGGUGAGGAAUACAUCGGAAUCUACUUUUUCGUGGGGGAUAACGUAGGGAAACUUACGCUAAUACCGCAUACGACCUACGGGUGAAAGCAUGGGAUCUUCGGACCUUGCGUGAUUGAAUGAGCCGAUGUCGGAUUAGCGAGUUGGCGGGGUAAAGGCCCACCAAGGCGACGAUCCGUAGCUGGUCUGAGAGGAUGAUCAGCCACACUGGAACUGAGACACGGUCCAGACUCCUACGGGAGGCAGCAGUGGGGAAUAUUGGACAAUGGGCGCAAGCCUGAUCCAGCCAUACCGCGUGGGUGAAGAAGGCCUUCGGGUUGUAAAGCCCUUUUGUUGGGAAAGAAAAGCAGCAGGUUAAUACCCCGCUGUUCUGACGGUACCCAAAGAAUAAGCACCGGCGAACUUCGU